rnacentral:tRNA from 2 species
GCCGCCAUCGUCUAGAGGCCCAGGACACCACCCUUUCAAGGUGAAGAUCGCGGGUUCGAAUCCCGCUGGCGGUACCA